UCUAGUCUAAGGUAGCCUAGCUAGCUUCUUUGACCUCAGCACGGUCCGUUUAGAAUAACAAAGUGACUUAAUGCUAGCUACUUAUACUAAAUAAUGACCCAAUCCAUCUCCGUGUCCCGCAACUCAAGCCCCCUAAAGAAUGCUACACAAUUGUCAAGACAACCUGCGCCGCGGACUAGUAUGGGAACAGUGCCAGCCAUCCCCUAGUCUCGCACAUGAACUGAUUGGAGCGAUUGCAGCCUGAGCAUGCAGCGAGCCGAGACAUACAAGACAAUAAACUUAACUUUUAAUUCAUUGGGGCAUGGUCGCGAACCUGAAAUCAGCUUAUUAGCCUUUAGCCAUCUUACUUAUUGCUAUAGCCAUGCCAAGCAAUUUGAAGAAUAACUAAUUGUUUAUUGACAGGGAAACUUAACUUCAGCACACAAUGUCCAGGGGGUGAGCACGUUAGUUGGUGCAACGUAAGACAGUCUCGUGUUCCAAUUGUUUGUUGUAGUAGCGUGAACUGUUCCCGUUCACACCGAGGUGAAGAACAGGAUAAUUGAAGGAAUGAAUCCGAGCCUCACCUGUGGAAUGUGGGGCAUCCAGUGAGGCACGGAUUUCAUUGACCUUGUCAGGUGUGAUUGUAGAUCCUUCAAACAAAGUCGGAAGAGUGUUCUACCGAAGGGAACCAUUAUGAAUGUGAUUUACAUCAGGGUUAUAGUUUGAAGUAUCGCUGAUGCAUUCCCAUAUAACAAAUUAGCCCCAUGCUGCAUGCGUCAGUUACAGUGAUAUACUUAUAACAACUGUAGAAUCAUGGUUAACAUACAGAGAAUAUUUAAGAGACAUCUUCCAGGGAAUAGAUUCUAAUUCCAACCCAAAUAAAGUCAAACCAAUACACUCAAGCUAUUUGGAUGUAAAUCUCUCUUUAAAUACACUACAUUACCAAAAGUAUGUGGUCACCUGCUCAUUGAGCAUCUUAUUCUAAAAGCAUGGGCAUUGAUAUGGACUUGGUCCUUUGCUGCUAUUCCAGCCUCCACUCUUCUGGGAAGAUGUUGGAACAUUGCUGCGGGGACAUUCAGCCACAAGAGCAUUAGUGAGGUCGGGACUCGCAGUCGGCGUUUCAAUCCAUCCCAAAUGUGUUCGGUUGGUUGGAUGUCAGGGCUUCGUGCAGGCCACAACAAUCUCGACAAACCAUUUCUGUAUGGACCUCGCUUUGUGCACGGGGGCAUUUUCAUGCUGAAACAGGAAAGGGCCUUCCCCAAAGUGUUGUUACAAAGUUGGAGGCACAGAAUCGUCUAGAAUGUCAUUGUUGUCUAUAGCUAUAAUAUUUCCCUUCAAUGAAACUAAGGGGGCUAGCCCGAACCAUGAAAAACAGCCCCAGACCAUUUUUCCUCAUCCACCAAACUUUACAGUUGGCACUAUGCAUUGGAGCAGGUAGCAUUCUCCUGGCAUCCGCCAAAACCAGAUUCCUCCAUCAGGACUCCCAGAUGGUGAAGCACGAUUUAUCACUCCAGAGAAUGCGUUUCAACUACUCCAGUCCAAUGGCGGCGAGCUUUACACUACUCCAGCCGACGCUUGGCAUUGCGCAUGGUGAUCUUAGGCUUGUGUGCGGCUCCUCGGCCAUGGAUACCCAUUUCAUGAAGCUCCCAACAAACAGUUAUUGUGCUGACGUUGCUUCCAGAUGCAGUUUGGAACUCGGUGGUGACUGUUUCAACCGUGGACUGACGAUUUUAACACGCUAUGCGCUUCAGCACUCGGCGGUCCCGUUCUGUGAGCUUGUGUGGCCUACCACUUUGAGGCUGAGCCACUGUUGCUCCUAUACUUUUUCAUUUCACAAGAACAGCACUUACAGUUGACCAAGACAGCUCUACAAGGGCAGAAAUUUGACGUACUGACUUAUUGGAACGGUGGCAUCCUAUGAUGGUGCCACAUUGAAAGUCACUGAGCUCUUCAGCAAGGCCAUUCUACUGGCAAUGUUUGUCUGUGGAGAUUGCAUGGCUGUGUGCUCGAUUGUAUACACCUGUCAGCAACGGGUGUGGCUGAAAUAGCCAAAUCCACUAAUUUGAAGGGGUGUCAACAUACGUUUGUAUAUAUAGUGUAUGUUUCUCAAGCUCUCUCCUUGAUUUAUUAUUUAGAAUCUUCACUAGAUUCUUUAUUCAUGGUGUUAUGGAGUUAAGCUUCAUUGGAAUAGAUGCCCUUCUCCAUUCCAGUUAUCCUGAAUUCUGUAUGACCCCGUUUACAGAAGCACUUUUUGGGGACCUCAAAAAGGCCUUUGAAUGUAAUGUUAUUGGCACCAGGUCCAUAACCAGGGUUUGAGUUUUGUUGAGAUCCGAAAUGGCUCAACACAACUGAAACCCUUCUAUCUAUACAAUUCAAAAACGUUUAAAUGCUAUUUGGAGAACAGCAAAGACAAGCAAAAAUGACCACAGCCAUUAUCACCUUGGCUGCUGUAGGUUCAUUCACCUCAGUCGAUCUACAAACACAUAGCCUAUGAGCUAUACAAUUGUAAUGUUAUACCCCUAAAAGGGGGGAAAUAUGGGACAUUUUUCACACUGACAUAGCAUCAGCGACGAAACUAAAACCUAUUUCAUUUUUAGAACUGUAUUGUUGGCAUUUCUAUUGCAUUUUAGUAGGACAUAUCUUAUUUUUUUAGGUUCCUAACUUAGUACAGAUUUACUCAGGGGGCCCAGAUCCCAAGUUUUGGAACCACUAACCUCCUCUCUUCUUGCUUCCUCUCUCUGGCUCCUCUGCUUCCUCCUGCAUGCAUUGAUCCUGCCUCAGCCUCACCACUGAGCGCCACAUCACUACCUGUCUCAGUAUGGAGGAACACAUCUUCCGUAAUUAGAAAAAUUUGUAAAUAAAUAAAUGGACACAUAAAUAGAUAAAUAAUGAAUAAAAUUGGAGAUAACAUUGAUUAUAUGCUGCUGUGCCGGGCUGUGCCGCACACGCCCAAUAAAAGCACACCCAAAAAACAUUGUCAUUGGCUAGUUUUGGAACACUGAGCCAGCCAUUGACUGCACCAGGUGGCUGUGUUAUGAGUGGGUCGCAUUCGAUAAUAAGGCAGCGGACUACCGCCAUAUAUUUUUGAAAUUAGAAGACCAAGAGACGGGAGUAGGUAGGCAAGAAGGAGUCGACCGGGAUUGACCAGAAAAUCAUGGUAAGGUAACGUUAAUGAGCAGGACAUUUCUCUACAUCCAAGUUGAGGCUUGCUACCGGCAGGAGCAUGGAGCACUCCAACAGCGAUACCGAGACAGAAUGGUCCUCCUGACCAACUACCUGCGAUCUCUAGAGCAGAGAAGUGUGCCUGCUGAGCUAUGAAACUUUAGAGCAGCACAUCAGAGAACCUGCCACUCUGUUGUCAUCUAUCUGCAGACAGUUCCCUGAGGAAGAAUGCAACUAUCAAGGCUUUCAGAAGCCACAUUUUGGGGAUGACCAAAUGCAAUACAGUUUUGUAUAAGCAACUCAUGUGUAGGGUGUCGUCUUUCGGAUGGGACGUUAAAAGGGUGUCAUUAAUUAAGGUCAUUAAAGAUCCCAUGGCACUUAUUGUUAGAGUAGGGGUGUUAACCCUGGUGUCCUGGCUAAAUUCUCAAUCUGGCCAUCAUACCAUCAUGGUCACCUAAUCAUCCCCAGCUUACAAUUGGCUCAUUCACCCCCCUCUCCCCUGUAACUAUUCCCCAGGUCGUUGCUGUAAAUGAGAACGUGUUCUCAGUCAACUUACCUGGUAAAAAUAACGGUAUAUAAAAUGUACUUAUUUUGUUAGAUUACAAAAGGAAAACCUUUUCACAUUGGUCUUCACACUAAACUUUGACUCAUUUCUGUAAUAACUUAAAUACAAAGAUUCUAAAGGUCUAAAAUAAAUGCAAGUGUUAUGUCCAGGGUGAAUACAUUUUUAUUCAUAUAUAACAGACAUCACACAGGUGUGUCAACUAAAAUAUAUAUCUCAGACAAGAUUAAAUGGGACAAGUAGACAAA